rnacentral:rRNA from 2 species
UACGUAGGUGGCAAGCGUUAUCCGGAUUUAUUGGGCGUAAAGCGAGCGCAGGCGGUUGUUUAGGUCUGAUGUGAAAGCCUUCGGCUUAACCGAAGAAGUGCAUCGGAAACCGGGCGACUUGAGUGCAGAAGAGGACAGUGGAACUCCAUGUGUAGCGGUGGAAUGCGUAGAUAUAUGGAAGAACACCAGUGGCGAAGGCGGCUGUCUGGUCUGCAACUGACGCUGAGGCUCGAAAGCAUGGGUAGCGAACAGGAUUAGAUACCCUGGUAGUCCAUGCCGUAAACGAUGAGUGCUAGGUGUUGGAGGGUUUCCGCCCUUCAGUGCCGAAGCUAACCGCAUUAAGCACUCCGCCUGGGGAGUACGACCGCAAGGUUGAAACUCAAAGGAAUUGACGGGGGCCCGCACAAGCGGUGGAGCAUGUGGUUUAAUUCGAAGCUACGCGAAGAACCUUACCAGGUCUUGACAUCUUGCGCCAACCUCAGAGAUGAGGCGUUCCCUUCGGGGACGCAAA